CCUCUUCAUAAGGAAAUUCAGGGAUAAAAAUAACUAAUUUAAAUACAACUGUUUUUUUUUUUGUAGUUCACAAGAAUGAAUGCUCACAAGUUUCUCGAAAUAAACGUUUCACUUUUUAUUUAAUGUCAUUUUUUUUUUGUCCAACAAAAGAUUAUAAUUUCAUGCCGAAAGCGUAAAUAAAUGUGUUAGUAAAUAUGUGUCAACAAAUCUAUUUUAACAAAGAGACAGCUCAUGCUCAAGCAAUGAAUCGGCAGGCAAACGUGAUAGCAAAUAGCAGACCAUUGUUAUUGUGUAAUAAUCAUGCCUCGUGCACCUCUAGCGAACUCUAAUUAAAA